AUAUAAAUAUCAAACCAUCUUCAACUAAAAAUACUUUUUAUAAAAUAAUAUUUUUUAAACCACAACUACAAAAACUACUACAAUACUAAAUAUAAUUUACAUUAGUAAAUAUAAUGA